UACGUAGGGUGCAAGCGUUAAUCGGAAUUACUGGGCGUAAAGCGUGCGCAGGCGGUUAUGUAAGACAGGUGUGAAAUCCCCGGGCUUAACCUGGGAACUGCAUUUGUGACUGCAUAGCUAGAGUACGGUAGAGGGGGAUGGAAUUCCGCGUGUAGCAGUGAAAUGCGUAGAUAUGCGGAGGAACACCGAUGGCGAAGGCAGCCUCCUGGGCCAGUACUGACGCUCAUGCACGAAAGCGUGGGGAGCAAACAGG
rnacentral:rRNA from 1 species